UACGGAGGAUCCGAGCGUUAUCCGGAUUUAUUGGGUUUAAAGGGUGCGUAGGCGGUUUGAUAAGUUAGAGGUGAAAUGUCGGGGCUCAACCCCGAAACUGCCUCUAAUACUGUUGGACUAGAGAAUAGUUGCGGUAGGCGGAAUGUAUGGUGUAGCGGUGAAAUGCUUAGAGAUCAUACAGAACACUGAUCGCGAAGGCAGCUUACCAAACUAUAUCUGACGUUGAGGCACGAAAGCGUGGGUAGCAAACAGG
rnacentral:rRNA from 1 species